AUUACAGGUGUUGCAUGGCUGUCGUCAGCUCGUGUCGUGAGAUGUCGGUUAAGUCCGCUAACGAGCGCAACCCUCGCUGUGUGUUAUAUGUGUCACACAGGACUGCUGGUAUUAAGCCGGAGGAAGGUGGGGACGACGUCAAGUCAGCAUGACCUUUAUAUCCAGGGCUACACACACGCUACAAUGGUCAGUACAAUGGGUUGCCAAGCCGCGAGGCGGAGCCAAUCCUAAAAAGCUGGCCUCAGUUCAGAUUGCAGUCUGAAACUCGACUGCAUGAAGUCGGAGUUGCUAGUAAACGCAGGUCAGCUAUACUGCGUUGAAUACGUUCCCGGGGCUU
rnacentral:rRNA from 1 species